rnacentral:rRNA from 1 species
UGGGGAAUUUUGGACAAUGGGCGCAAGCCUGAUCCAGCCAUGCCGCGUGAGUGAAGAAGGCCUUAGGGUUGUAAAACUCUUUCGCCGGGGAAGAUAAUGACGGUACCCGGAGAAGAAGCUCCGGCUAACUUCGUGCCAGCAGCCGCGGUAAUACGAAGGGAGCUAGCGUUGUUCGGAAUUACUGGGCGUAAAGCGCACGUAGGCGGACUUGUCAGUCAGGGGUGAAAUCCCAAGGCUCAACCUUGGAACUGCCUCCGAUACAGCAAGCCUAGAGAUCGGGAGAGGUGAGUGGAAUUCCUAGUGUAGAGGUGAAAUUCGUAGAUAUUAGGAGGAACACCUGAGGUGAAGACGGGUUGCUGGGCUGACACUGACGCUGAGGCACGAAAGCGUGGGGAGCAAACAGGAUUAGAUACCCCCGUAGUCCCUGAGCGGGCUGGCAAGGCGCAU